UACGGGGGGGGCAAGCGUUGUUCGGAAUUACUGGGCGUAAAGGGCUCGUAGGCGGCCCUCUCAGUCGGAUGUGAAAUCCCCAGGCUUAACCUGGGAACGGCAUCCGAUACUGGAGGGCUUGAAUUCGGGAGAGGGAUGCAGAAUUCCAGGUGUAGCGGUGAAAUGCGUAGAUAUCAGGAGGAACACCGGUGGUGUAGACGGCUCACUGGACCGUAACUGACGCUGAGACACGAAAGCGUGGGUAGCAAACAGG
rnacentral:rRNA from 1 species